rnacentral:rRNA from 1 species
UACGGUUACCUUGUUACGACUUCACCCCAGUCGCUGACCUUACCGUGGCCUGCUGCCUCUAAAAGUUAGCACACAGUCUUCGGGUAAAACCAACUCCCAUGGUGUGACGGGCGGUGUGUACAAGGCCCGGGAACGUAUUCACCGUGGCAUGCUGAUCCACGAUUACUAGCGAUUCCAACUUCAUGCUCUCGAGUUGCAGAGAACAAUCCGAACUGAGACGGCUUUUAGAGAUUAGCUCCUCAUCGCUGAGUGGCUGCUCACUGUCACCGCCAUUGUAGCACGUGUGUAGCCCGGCCCGUAAGGGCCAUGAUGAUUUGACGUCAUCCCCACCUUCCUCCGGCUUAUCACCGGCAGUCCCUCUAGAGUGCCCAACUUAAUGCUGGCAACUAAAGGCGAGGGUUGCGCUCGUUGCGGGACUUAACCCAACAUCUCACGACACGAGCUGACGACAACCAUGCAGCACCUGUAUCCAAUCCAGCCGAACUGAAGGAAAGCAUCUCUGCUAUCCGCGAUUGGUAUGUCAAGGGCCGGUAAGGUUCUUCGCGUUGCCUCGAAUUAAACCACAUGCUCCACCGCUUGUGCGGGCCCCCGUCAAUUCCUUUGAGUUUUAGUCUUGCGACCGUAGUCCCCAGGCGGGGUGCUUUACGCGUUAGCUGCGUCACCAAACAGCAUGCUGCCUGACAACUAGCACCCAUCGUU